GACGAACGCUGGCGGCGUGCCUAACACAUGCAAGUCGAACGGAAAGGCCCUGCGUUUGUGGGGUUCUCGAGUGGCGAACGGGUGAGUAACACGUGAGUAACCUGCCCCUGACUUUCGGAUAACUUCAGGAAACUCGGGCUAAUACCCGGUAGGAGCUCCUGCUGCAUGGUGGGGGUUGGAAAGUUUCGGCUGUUGGGGAUGGACUCGCUGCUUAUCCGCUUGUUUGUGGGGUAGUUGCUUACCAAGGCUUUGACGGGUAGCCGGCCUGAGAGGGGGACCGGCCACAUGGGGACUGAGAGACGGCGCAGAAGGCUACGGGACGCAGUAGUGGGGAGUCUUGCACAAUGGGCGGAAGCGUGAUGCAGAAACGCUGGGUGCGGGAUGCUGGCUUUCGGGUGGUAAACCGAUGUCGACGGUGCCGAAGCGUUAGUGACGGUAAUUAGUCAGGAAGCACCGGCUAACUACGUG
rnacentral:rRNA from 1 species